GACAAAACAAAAACUGUCUUUAAUAUUUAAAUAAAAUUUAACUUUUAAGUGAAAAGGCUUAAAUAUAACAAAUAGACGAUAAGACCCUAAAAGUUUUAUAUUAAAUAUUAUAUUUUAAAAAGUUUAUAAAAAUUUAAUGUAGUAUAAAAUAUUUAGCUGGGGCGGCUUGUUUAAAAAUUUUAUUAACUUCUCUUAAAUAAAACAUUUUUAAAUGAAAAUAAUAGAUCCUUAAUAUAAAGAUCAAAAGAAAAAUUACUUUAGGGAUAACAGCGUUAUUCUUUUUGAGAGUUCAUAUCGAAAAAAGAGAUUGCGACCUCGAUGUUGAAUUAAAAAUUCUAUAUAGUGAAGCAGCUUUAUAAGAAGGUCUGUUCGACC
rnacentral:rRNA from 1 species